CAAGGCGGUUGGAUGAUCGCUGUUCAUUUUUUUGAACAGAGGAAAGUCCGAGCUCCGAUAGGCAGGAUGCCCGUUAACGGCGGGGCGGGGUGACCCGACGGACAGUGCCACAGAAAAUAUACCGUCUAGUUUUCUAGAUAAGGUUGAAAAGGCGAGGUAAGAGCUCACCGCUUCAAUGGUAACAUUGAAGGCAUGGUAAACCCCAUCCGGAGCAAGACCAAAUUGGGAGUAAAGAUGCCUAUAUCAAUCCCGGGUAGGUUGCUUGAGCCUGUUGGUAACAUCAGGCCUAGAUAGAUGGUCAUCGCUCGUGUUAAUUAACUCGAGUACAGAACUCGGCUUAUAGACCGCCUUGCAAA
rnacentral:RNase_P_RNA from 2 species